rnacentral:rRNA from 1 species
CCUACGGGUGGCAGCAGUGGGGAAUAUUGGACAAUGGGGGCAACCCUGAUCCAGCCAUGCCGCGUGUGUGAAGAAGGCCCUCGGGUUGUAAAGCACUUUCAGUGAGGAAGAACGCCUGGUGGUUAAUACCCAUCAGGAAAGACAUCAAUCACAGAAGAAGCACCGGCUAACUCCGUGCCAGCAGCCGCGGUAAUACGGAGGGUGCGAGCGUUAAUCGGAAUUACUGGGCGUAAAGCGCGCGUAGGUGGCUUGAUAAGCCGGUUGUGAAAGCCCCGGGCUCAACCUGGGAACGGCAUCCGGAACUGUCAAGCUAGAGUGCAGGAGAGGAAGGUAGAAUUCCCGGUGUAGCGGUGAAAUGCGUAGAGAUCGGGAGGAAUACCAGUGGCGAAGGCGGCCUUCUGGACUGACACUGACACUGAGGUGCGAAAGCGUGGGUAGCAAACAGGAUUAGAUACCCGAGUAGUC